rnacentral:rRNA from 1 species
AUACGUAGGUGGCAAGCGUUGUCCGGAUUUACUGGGCGUAAAGGAUGCGUAGGCGGAUAUUUAAGUGAGAUGUGAAAUUCCCGGGCUUAACUUGGGAGCUGCAUUUCAAACUGGAUGUCUAGAGUGCAGGAGGGGAGAAUGGAAUUCCUAGUGUAGCGGUGAAAUGCGUAGAGAUUAGGAAGAACACCAGUGGCGAAGGCGAUUCUCUGGACUGUAACUGACGCUGAGGCAUGAAAGCGUGGGUAGCAAACAGGAUUAGAUACCCUGGUAGUCCACGCCGUAAACGAUGAGUACUAGGUGUAGGAGGUCCAACCUUCUGUGCCGCAGUUAACACAAUAAGUACUCCGCCUGGGAAGUACGAUCGCAAGAUUAAA